rnacentral:rRNA from 1 species
CUGUAGUCGGUCCCAAGGGUUGGGCUGUUCGCCCAUUAAAGCGGUACGCGAGCUGGGUUCAGAACGUCGUGAGACAGUUCGGUCCCUAUCCGUCGUGGGCGUAGGAAAUUUGAGAGGAGCUGUCCUUAGUACGAGAGGACCGGGAUGGACAUACCUCUGGUGUACCAGUUGUCGUGCCAACGGCAUAGCUGGGUAGCUAUGUAUGGACGGGAUAAGUGCUGAAAGCAUCUAAGCAUGAAGCCCCCCUCAAGAUGAGAUUUCCCAACUUCGGUUAUAAGAUCCCUCAAAGAUGAUGAGGUUAAUAGGUUCGAGGUGGAAGCGUAGCGAUACGUGGAGCUGACGAAUACUAAUCGAUCGAAGACUUAAUCAAUUU